rnacentral:rRNA from 1 species
ACGGGUGAGUAACGCGUGGGUAACCUACCCUGUACACACGGAUAACAUACCGAAAGGUAUGCUAAUACGGGAUAAUAUAUUUGAGAGGCAUCUCUUAAAUAUCAAAGGUGAGCCAGUACAGGAUGGACCCGCGUCUGAUUAGCUAGUUGGUAAGGUAACGGCUUACCAAGGCGACGAUCAGUAGCCGACCUGAGAGGGUGAUCGGCCACAUUGGAACUGAGACACGGUCCAAACUCCUACGGGAGGCAGCAGUGGGGAAUAUUGCACAAUGGGCGAAAGCCUGAUGCAGCAACGCCGCGUGAGUGAUGAAGGCCUUCGGGUCGUAAAACUCUGUCCUCAAGGAAGAUAAUGACGGUACUUGAGGAGGAAGCCCCGGCUAACUACGUGCCAGCAGCCGCGGUAAUACGUAGGGGGCUAGCGUUAUCCGGAUUUACUGGGCGUAAAGGGUGCGUAGGCGGUCUUUCAGGUCAGGAGUGAAAGGCUACGGCUCAACCGUAGUAAGCUCUUGAAACUGGGAGACUUGAGUGCAGGAGAGGAGAGUGGAAUUCCUAGUGUAGCGGUGAAAUGCGUAGAUAUUAGGAGGAACACCAGUUGCGAAGGCGGCUCUCUGGACUGUAACUGACGCUGAGGCACGAAAGCGUGGGGAGCAAACAGGAUUAGAUACCCUGGUAGUCCACGCUGUAAACGAUGAGUACUAGGUGUCGGGGGUUACCCCCUUCGGUGCCGCAGCUAACG